rnacentral:tRNA from 1 species
AAGGUACUAGUACAACGGGCACUACAUUGCUUUGUCAAGGCAAAAAUGCGGGUUGAACUCCCGCGUACCUUA